rnacentral:rRNA from 1 species
AGGUGGCUGUAUGGCUGUCGUCAGCUCGUGUCGUGAGAUGUUCGGGUUAAGUCCGCUAACGAGCGCAACCCUCGCUGUGUGUUACAAGUGUCACACGGAACUGCCGGUCAUAAACCGGAGGAAGGUGGGAUGACGUCAAGUCAGCAUGGCCUUUAUAUCCUGGGCUACACACACGCUACAAUGGGAAGGGACAAUAGGUUGCGAAGCCGCGAGGCGGAGCCAAUCCAGCAAAACUUCCCUCAGUUCAGAUUGCAGGCUGCAACCCGCCUGCAUGAAGUUGGAGUUGCUAGUAAACGCAGGUCAGCCAUACUGCGUUGAAUACGUUCCCGGGGCUU